CUAAAGGCUCUUUUCAGAGCCACCCACUUUGUCAUUGGAAGGAGUU
rfam:Dipodomys ordii contig_22833, whole genome shotgun sequence.